ensembl:snoRNA predicted gene, 26047
GAACAACCCGGCGGCACACCUUCUCCUGGUGCUGGGGCUUAAGCUGUGGUGCCACAGCACUUUGCAGGUGCAUGACUGGGGCUGUCUGCCCUUCGCCGGCGGCCCUUUUAACUGCCAGCUACAGAC